rnacentral:rRNA from 1 species
UCUAUACGGUGAACUGCGAAUGGCUCAUUAAAUCAGUUAUCGUUUAUUUGAUAGUACCUUACUACUUGGAUAACCGUGGUAAUUCUAGAGCUAAUACAUGCUAAAAACCCCGACUUACGAAGGGGUGUAUUUAUUAGAUAAAAAACCAAUGCCCUUCGGGGCUCCUUGGUGAUUCAUAAUAACUUAACGAAUCGCAUGGCCUUGUGCCGGCGAUGGUUCAUUCAAAUUUCUGCCCUAUCAACUUUCGAUGGUAGAGUAGUGGUCUACCAUGGUUUCAACGGGUAACGGGGAAUUAGGGUUCUAUUCCGGAGAGGGAGCCUGAGAAACGGCUACCACAUCCAAGGAAGGCAGCAGGCGCGCAAAUUACCCAAUCCCGACACGGGGAGGUAGUGACAAUAAAUACUGAUACAGGGCUCUUUUGGGUCUUGUAAUUGGAAUGAGUACAAUUUAAAUCCCUUAACGAGGAACAAUUGGAGGGCAAGUCUGGUGCCAGCAGCCGCGGUAAUUCCAGCUCCAAUAGCGUAUAUUAAAGUUGUUGCAGUUAAAAAGCUCGUAGUUGAACCUUGGGCCUGGCUGGCCGGUCCGCCUCACCGCGUGCACUGGUCCGGCCGGGUCUUUCCUCCUGGGGAGCUGCAUGCCCUUCACUGGGUGUGUCAGGGAACCAGGACUUUUACUUUGAAAAAAUUAGAGUGUUCAAAGCAGGCCUAUGCUCGAAUACAUUAGCAUGGAAUAAUAGAAUAGGACGUGUGGUUCUAUUUUGUUGGUUUCUAGGACCGCCGUAAUGAUUAAUAGGGAUAGUCGGGGGCAUCAGUAUUCAAUUGUCAGAGGUGAAAUUCUUGGAUUUAUUGAAGACUAACUACUGCGAAAGCA